UACGUAGGCAGCAAGCGUUGUUCGGAGUUACUGGGCGUAAAGGGUGUGUAGGCGGUUCUUUUAAGUUUGGUGUGAAAUCUCCCCGGCUCAACCGGGAGGGUGCGCCGAAUACUGAGGGACUAGAGUGCGGGAGAGGAAAGUGGAAUUCCUGGUGUAGCGGUGAAAUGCGUAGAUAUCAGGAGGAACACCGGUGGUGUAGACGGCUUUCUGGACCGUAACUGACGCUGAGACACGAAAGCGUGGGUAGCAAACAGG
rnacentral:rRNA from 1 species